UACGAAGGGGGCUAGCGUUGCUCGGAAUUACUGGGCGUAAAGCGCACGUAGGCGGGCUGUCAAGUCUGGGGUGAAAUGCCACGGCUCAACCGUGGAACUGCCUUAGAUACUGACGGCCUCGAGGAAGGUAGGGGCAUGCGGAACUGUAGGUGGAGCGGUGAAAUGCGUUGAUAUCUACAGGAACUCCGGUGGCGAAAGCGGCGUGCUGGACCUUUUCUGACGCUGAGGCGCGAAAGCUAGGGGAGCAAACGGG
rnacentral:rRNA from 1 species